GGUUAAGCGACUAAGCGUACACGGUGGAUGCCCUGGCAGUCAGAGGCGAUGAAGGACGUGCUAAUCUGCGAUAAGCGUCGGUGAGGUGAUAUGAACCGUUAUAACCGGCGAUUUCCGAAUGGGGAAACCCAGUGUGUUUCGACACACUAUCAUUAACUGAAUCCAUAGGUUAAUGAGGCGAACCGGGGGAACUGAAACAUCUAAGUACCCCGAGGAAAAGAAAUCAACCGAGAUUCCCCCAGUAGCGGCGAGCGAACGGGGAGGAGCCCAGAGCCUGAAUCAGUGUGUGUGUUAGUGGAAGCGUCUGGAAAGGCGCGCGAUACAGGGUGACAGCCCCGUACACAAAAAUGCACAUGCUGUGAGCUCGAUGAGUAGGGCGGGACACGUGGUAUCCUGUCUGAAUAUGGGGGGACCAUCCUCCAAGGCUAAAUACUCCUGACUGACCGAUAGUGAACCAGUACCGUGAGGGAAAGGCGAAAAGAACCCCGGCGAGGGGAGUGAAAAAGAACCUGAAACCGUGUACGUACAAGCAGUGGGAGCCUCUUAAUGGGGUGACUGCGUACCUUUUGUAUAAUGGGUCAGCGACUUAUAUUCUGUAGCAAGGUUAACCGAAUAGGGGAGCCGAAGGGAAACCGAGUCUUAACUGGGCGUUAAGUUGCAGGGUAUAGACCCGAAACCCGGUGAUCUAGCCAUGGGCAGGUUGAAGGUUGGGUAACACUAACUGGAGGACCGAACCGACUAAUGUUGAAAAAUUAGCGGAUGACUUGUGGCUGGGGGUGAAAGGCCAAUCAAACCGGGAGAUAGCUGGUUCUCCCCGAAAGCUAUUUAGGUAGCGCCUCGUGAAUUCAUCUCCGGGGGUAGAGCACUGUUUCGGCAAGGGGGUCAUCCCGACUUACCAACCCGAUGCAAACUGCGAAUACCGGAGAAUGUUAUCACGGGAGACACACGGCGGGUGCUAACGUCCGUCGUGAAGAGGGAAACAACCCAGACCGCCAGCUAAGGUCCCAAAGUCAUGGUUAAGUGGGAAACGAUGUGGGAAGGCCCAGACAGCCAGGAUGUUGGCUUAGAAGCAGCCAUCAUUUAAAGAAAGCGUAAUAGCUCACUGGUCGAGUCGGCCUGCGCGGAAGAUGUAACGGGGCUAAACCAUGCACCGAAGCUGCGGCAGCGACACUAUGUGUUGUUGGGUAGGGGAGCGUUCUGUAAGCCUGUGAAGGUGGCCUGUGAGGGUUGCUGGAGGUAUCAGAAGUGCGAAUGCUGACAUAAGUAACGAUAAAGCGGGUGAAAAGCCCGCUCGCCGGAAGACCAAGGGUUCCUGUCCAACGUUAAUCGGGGCAGGGUGAGUCGACCCCUAAGGCGAGGCCGAAAGGCGUAGUCGAUGGGAAACAGGUUAAUAUUCCUGUACUUGGUGUUACUGCGAAGGGGGGACGGAGAAGGCUAUGUUGGCCGGGCGACGGUUGUCCCGGUUUAAGCGUGUAGGCUGGUUUUCCAGGCAAAUCCGGAAAACCAAGGCUGAGGCGUGAUGACGAGGCACUACGGUGCUGAAGCGACAAAUGCCCUGCUUCCAGGAAAAGCCUCUAAGCAUCAGGUAACAUCAAAUCGUACCCCAAACCGACACAGGUGGUCAGGUAGAGAAUACCAAGGCGCUUGAGAGAACUCGGGUGAAGGAACUAGGCAAAAUGGUGCCGUAACUUCGGGAGAAGGCACGCUGAUAUGUAGGUGAAGCGACUUGCUCGUGGAGCUGAAAUCAGUCGAAGAUACCAGCUGGCUGCAACUGUUUAUUAAAAACACAGCACUGUGCAAACACGAAAGUGGACGUAUACGGUGUGACGCCUGCCCGGUGCCGGAAGGUUAAUUGAUGGGGUUAGCGGCAACGCGAAGCUCUUGAUCGAAGCCCCGGUAAACGGCGGCCGUAACUAUAACGGUCCUAAGGUAGCGAAAUUCCUUGUCGGGUAAGUUCCGACCUGCACGAAUGGCGUAAUGAUGGCCAGGCUGUCUCCACCCGAGACUCAGUGAAAUUGAACUCGCUGUGAAGAUGCAGUGUACCCGCGGCAAGACGGAAAGACCCCGUGAACCUUUACUAUAGCUUGACACUGAACAUUGAGCCUUGAUGUGUAGGAUAGGUGGGAGGCUUUGAAGUGUGGACGCCAGUCUGCAUGGAGCCGACCUUGAAAUACCACCCUUUAAUGUUUGAUGUUCUAACGUUGGCCCGUAAUCCGGGUUGCGGACAGUGUCUGGUGGGUAGUUUGACUGGGGCGGUCUCCUCCUAAAGAGUAACGGAGGAGCACGAAGGUUGGCUAAUCCUGGUCGGACAUCAGGAGGUUAGUGCAAUGGCAUAAGCCAGCUUGACUGCGAGCGUGACGGCGCGAGCAGGUGCGAAAGCAGGUCAUAGUGAUCCGGUGGUUCUGAAUGGAAGGGCCAUCGCUCAACGGAUAAAAGGUACUCCGGGGAUAACAGGCUGAUACCGCCCAAGAGUUCAUAUCGACGGCGGUGUUUGGCACCUCGAUGUCGGCUCAUCACAUCCUGGGGCUGAAGUAGGUCCCAAGGGUAUGGCUGUUCGCCAUUUAAAGUGGUACGCGAGCUGGGUUUAGAACGUCGUGAGACAGUUCGGUCCCUAUCUGCCGUGGGCGCUGGAGAACUGAGGGGGGCUGCUCCUAGUACGAGAGGACCGGAGUGGACGCAUCACUGGUGUUCGGGUUGUCAUGCCAAUGGCACUGCCCGGUAGCUAAAUGCGGAAGAGAUAAGUGCUGAAAGCAUCUAAGCACGAAACUUGC
rnacentral:rRNA from 1 species